ensembl:lncRNA
UAUAUAUAUAUAGAUCUAUAACUCUAUAUCUUUAGACUUAUACAUAUCUAUAGAUAUAGACACACCAAGAACAGAAGCUGGCGGAAUGCAGAGCCUCCAGGCGGUAGCCGGAGCCACAAAGUCCGGAGACCUCGGAUCGUAACUCGACUUCUCGUUGUUAAAUCAACCGCAGAUUGUAAUCCGAAUUCAACUUUACCUGAUCCUCCCGUUGAAGCGACACUCCUUUAAGUUCCGUUUCAGUUCAAGCGUUUGGUUUUAAAAUCCCACUCAUAUUUCACUGCAAAACAAGUGAUCGUCGCCAGAUUUGUUGUGUCCUUCUAGUGCUCGGCGGCGGCGCGGCGGGGUGUGAGCUGCGGGAGGACGAGCCUCCAAUCACGGCAGGACGGGACGGCGCUGCCCGGUGAACCGGGGCUUCCACCUGGUCCCCGAGCGCCCUCUGGUGGCGGACUAAUAAGUCUGGUCACCCAUCAGCUGGGAGGGAACCAACCAGGGAACCAUGGGACUAGACUGGGGCACCAUAACACCGGAUUGAACAGCUUCUCCCAGACCAGACCAGAACAGACCGGACC